UCAGCCUCUCUCUCCCCCCCCCCCCCCCCCCCCCCCUUCCCCCACAUAAAUUGACUCCGUCGGCCGAUCAUUGAUACUCCGGCCGACCAUUGCAAUUGAGGUCAUCAGAUCUAGCAUUAUGGAGAGCAUACAGAGAGUAGAGCAAUUAGAGCUCAGGGCAAAAAAUUGGAGGACAGAAACUGAUUGGGGGUCUUGAUUGUACUGUUCACAGAAACUUCUUUGGGAUCCAGGUAACGGAAUGGUUUUCUCAUUUUGAUUAGGCAGAUACAUUUGUUUGUUUCUCCAUUCUUAGUGCUUAAUCAUGAAAGGAUUUUCUGGUAUGUUAUGUGGUUUCUUAUCUCAGGGCAAAAAACUAGAGAACAGAAACUGAUUGGAGUCUUGAUUGUACUAUUCACAGAAACUUCUUUGAGAUCCAGGAAAAAAAUUGAGUCAGCUUUGAGCCGAAGCGCCAUAGAUGAGUCUCAAGUUUCGCCAAACGAUGUCGUUGGUAAGGCGCUAGGCCAGAGCACUCUGGAAGGGUGAGAUGCUUAGGAUUAGGAGUUGUUCCUAGUAGAGUUUUCAAACAAGAUAAACCUUGUUUUGGUGGUACAAGUGCUUCAAGUAGUGGAGGUUCUUGUUCGUUCCAAUGUCGAGAAAAUUUUGCUCAAAUGAUGAAUUCUUACAAUCAGAUAAUGAGUGCUUUGAAGACAUAUAUGAUAAUGAAAGAAGGAAUAAUACCGGAAUAAUUUAUGGGGCUCUUUGAUUCUCCUUCAAUGGUUUCUCCCACAGCACCGAGUGAUACAGCUAGUGGACCUAUUUCGCGCAUGGAUGCAAGGAGAUCACAGGAUGAUAAUGAUCCUAAUGACAUUCUUUGAUUUCGUUGUAUUUGUGUGGUUGGAAUGAAUCUUAGAAUAUUGAAGGUUUUGUGUUUAAAUUUGAUUUUGUAGUUUGACGAUACUAGUUAAUGUUAAAAAUUUAGAGUUUGAAGAUGUUAAUGUUGAAAAUUUAAUUUUGAAGUUUAAUGUUCAAUGCAUUUGUGA